AUGCCCACCCACACACACAGCCCACUUCUGUGGUCCAUGUGGCAGUGGUGGCGCUGAGAUUCAUCUCUAGACCCUUCCGGGUGUGUUUGCUGUUCCUGGGACAGCACCGACCUGUUUGCUUAAGGUGGUUUCAGUGACUCUUGGUGGGCAUCUGGUGGCUCAGUCGGGGUCACUUUGUGCCCCCUGUCUGUGCUGAGGGCACUCGUUCAGGACUUGUUAGGAGUGGGGUUAAUGGAUCCCAAAGGUGAGACCACUCAGGGUGUGAGCAGGGGCCUGAACAGGACAUUGUAGUCCCACUAGAGGUAGUGAGUCAAUCAGACAGGCCAGAGGCGUCCUGAGCAAGGGGGUCCUGGGUGACCCCCUGCUCCACUCUUGGGUCCAUGGUAUGGUGGUUCAGAGGCCAGGCAGUUUUGGACAGACAGUGGCUGGGGCUCCUGGCUCAGGUGGUCAGGAGAGCACUUGGUCUUUGGUGCUCCCUGACUGCAUAGGUACACCCUAAACCCCUGCCUUCCCCCCAUCCUGCCCCACUGGCCCUGUUGCUGAUGAGGGUCACUGGGGAGGGAGGCCUGGGGACUCCCCUGCCACGGGCUUCUCAUGCUCCUGGGCAGACCCCCGCACAGAAGCCAGGGGCUCAGCGAAGUCCUGUGUGAAUUACUCCUUGAUCAAGUGGAGCAGAGUGAAAGCAGAGCUGCCGUUCCAUUGUUCUCUCUCCAGGCGCAGAAGAAUGUGCUCAGACAGAGUGUCUGGGGAAGCUGACUUCUGUGUCUGUUCCGCCCACCCACUUCCCAGUUUCGAAUGAAGGAUCACUGGGAGGAUAGAAUUGAGGAGAGAAUCUGGAAGUAAAUGUGACCUCCUUAACUCUAAAGAUCUUACUCUUGAAAUUACAGACUCUGGAUUUCAGUGCUAGAAGACCCUAAGGGGCACCAGGCAGCUGACACCUGCUCAGGGACACGCAACGGGCUAGUAGCAGGAGCUGAACCUGAACCCAGGUCUUUGGGCUUCCAGCUUCUG
rnacentral:lncRNA from 1 species